CUUUACUGUAACUUGAAAUUGAAACUGGACUUUACUUGCGCAGGAUAGGUGGGAGGCAUUGAGAGUAUUCUUGCGGGAAUAUUGGAGCCAUCGGUGAGAUACCACUCUUGUAAUGUUAGGUUUCUAACUUGGUAUCAUGAUCUGGUCCAAGAACAGUUUCGGGCGGGCAGUUUGACUGGGGCGGUCGCCUCCUAAACGGUAACGGAGGCGUACAAAGGUUUCCUCUGAACGGGUAGAAAUCGUAUCUAGAGUGUAAAGGCAUAAGGAAGCUUGACUGUGGGACCUACAAGUCGAGCAGGGACGAAAGUCGGUCUUAGUGAUCUGACGGUGCUGAGUGGAAAGGCCGUCACUCAACGGAUAAAAGUUA
rnacentral:rRNA from 1 species